UACGUAGGGUGCAAGCGUUGUCCGGAAUUAUUGGGCGUAGAGAGCUCGUAGGCGGUUUGUCGCGUCUGCUGUGAAAUCUCGGGGCUUAACUUCGGGCGUGCAGUCGAUACGGGCUGGCUUGAGUGCGGUAGGGGAGACUGGAAUUCCUGGUGUAGCGGUGAAAUGCGCAGAUAUCAGGAGGAACACCAGCGGCGAAGGCGGCACUCUGGGCCGAUACUGACGCUGAAGAGCGAAAGCGUGGGUAGCAAACAGG
rnacentral:rRNA from 1 species